UUGACGCCACCACAAAUGACUUCAAAGAUGGCAGUCUCAGACUGAAGUAUGUAGCGAACAUAGAGCAAGCGGAAUAAUUCAGUUUGAGUCGUCAAGCUAAUCCUGACAUGACUCUGACAUCAAUGAUUUGGACCUAAUGGGCACCAGUUUGGACUUCGUACCCUGCUGCUAUGAAUGGGAAGAUAUCCUGAAAAUAUAUCCACUCCAUAUCCUGAUGGUCAGGGUGGGGCAGCUGUAAUCUGGGAUAUGGAUUUGCUGUCACCUGACUUCACUGAUACAGAACAUCACUUCCUGGUCUUGGCUGCUUCCUCUUGCUUGCUUGAUGGAUGGCUGCCAUUCCAUGCACAAAGACGACUUCCUCAAAAACAAAUAGAUAUGCAACACACUAACUGCAUUACCACUGCUCAAUGAAGUUAUCUGGCUUUUUAGAGGGCACUUUCAUUAAAUGCUCUUAUAGAAGAA